rnacentral:lncRNA from 1 species
UCCUGAUUCUCGAUCACUGAGUUUCAAACAUAUAGGAUUCUACAUCAGCCAUCAGAUCAGAUAGGAACCUCUAAUGUGUGUGACCCCGCAGGUUCGAACCUAAGCCGGUAGCACAGGAACCAAUUCCUGUAUUAAUCGAAGUGACCAUCUAGCAAUGGUACCCGAUGUUCGGAUAGGUCGAAGAGUCACAAUCGCAACACUCAGAACCUACAUGAAUAUGGUUACUGUAUAAUUCAUCCUUUUGACCCCUGUAUUUAGG